rnacentral:rRNA from 1 species
GGGGAUGACGUCAAAUCAUCAUGCCCCUUAUGACCUGGGCUACACACGCGCUACAAUGGUUGGUACAACGAGUUGCGAGUCGGUGACGGCGAGCCUAAUCGUCUUAAAGCCAAUCUCAGUUCGGAUUGUAGGCUGCAACUCGCCCUACAUGAAGUCGGAAUCGCUAGUAAUCGCGGAUCAGCACGCCGCGGUGAAUACGUUCCCGGGCCUU